GGCAGAAAUAUAUCCUCUCAAGACAUGAGGAUGCAGGUUAUCUUUUAACAUAACAAGACAUCAAUUACAGCAUGCCUCCAGUAACUACCAACUUCGAAAGCUAGGAUCAAGGCUAGGAUUCCUUAUCCAUUCCCACAACAAUGGCUUCUCAUGCCAACAGCGAGCUCUCGAGCUGGUCUAUUUUUAUAAAACAUGGCACUCCUGAGGAAUUAAAAAUGAAAAUAAUUGAGCUACAAGCAAACCCUGUUAUUUUGGAGACCCACAAAUACGGAAC